GUGCCAGCCGCCGCGGUAAUACAGAGGGUGCGAGCGUUAAUCGGAAUUACUGGGCGUAAAGGGCGCGUAGGCGGUCGUAUAAGAUUGUUGUGAAAUCCCUGGGCUUAACCUAGGAACUGCAACGAUGACUGUAUGGCUUGAGUAUUGUAGAGGGCAGUGGAAUUUCCGGUGUAGCGGUGAAAUGCGUAGAGAUCGGAAGGAACACCGGUGGCGAAGGCGGCUGCCUGGACAAAUACUGACGCUGAGGCGCGAGAGCGUGGGGAGCAAACAGGAUUAGAUACCCUGGUAGUCC
rnacentral:rRNA from 1 species